GUAACGGCGAGUGAAGCGGCAACAGCUCAUUUGAAAUCUGGUCCUUCCGGGGGCCCGAGUUGUAAUUUGUAGAGGAUGCUUCGGGCGCGGCCGCGGCCGAACUCGCCUGGAACGGCGGGUCAGAGAGGGUGAGAAUCCCGUCCGGGGUCGCGGGCCGCGCCCGGGUGAAGCUCCUUCGACGAGUCGAGUUGUUUGGGAAUGCAGCUCUAAGUGGGUGGUAAAUUUCAUCUAAAGCUAAAUAGGGGCCAGAGACCGAUAGCGCACAAGUAGAGUGAUCGAAAGAUGAAAAGCACUUUGAAAAGAGAGUUAAACAGUAUGUGAAAUUGUUGAAAGGGAAGCGCUUGCGACCAGACCUGCGGGCGGCGGUUCCCCCGGCCCCCCGCGGCCGGGUCACUCCGCCGCCCCCAGGCCAGCAUCGGUUCGGGUGGCCGGUGAAAGGCCCCGGGAAUGUAUCAACCCCCGGGUUGACUUAGAGCCCGGGGUGCAAUGCGGCCCACCCGGACCGAGGCCCGCGCUCCGGCUCGGAUGCUGGCGUAAUGGUCGCAAGCGGCCCGUCUUGAAACACGGACCAAGGAGUCUAACAUCUGUGCGAGUGUGCGGGUGGCAAACCCCGGCGCGGAAUGAAAGUGAACGGAGGUCGGAGCCCGCCCCGGGCGCACGAUCGACCGAUCCGGAAGUCCUCGGAUGGAUUUGAGUAAGAGCACAGCCGUUGGGACCCGAAAGAUGGUGAACUAUGCCUGGAUAGGGUGAAGCCAGAGGAAACUCUGGUGGAGGCUCGCAGCGGUUCUGACGUGCAAAUCGAUCGUCAAAUCUGGGUAUAGGGGCGAAAGACUAAUCGAACCGUCUGGUAGCUGGUUCCUGCCGAAGUUUCCCUCAGGAUAGCAGUAACGCGGGCAGUUUUAUGAGGUAAAGCGAAUGAUUAGAGGCCUGGGGGUUGCAACAACCUUCACCUAUUCUCAAACUUUAAAUAUGUAAGAAGUCC
rnacentral:rRNA from 1 species